rnacentral:rRNA from 1 species
GCGGACGGGUGAGUAAUGUCUGGGAAACUGCCUGAUGGCGGGGGAUAACUAGUGGAAACGGUAGCUAAUACCGCAUAACGUCGCAAGACCAAAGUGGGGGACCUUCGGGCCUCACGCCAUCAGAUGUGCCCAGGUGGGAUUAGCUGGUAGGUGGGGUAACGGCUCACCUAGGCGACGAUCCCUAGCUGGUCUGAGAGGAUGACCAGCCACACUGGAACUGAGACACGGUCCAGACUCCUACGGGAGGCAGCAGUGGGGAAUAUUGCACAAU